GAUGAAGAACGCAGCGAAAUGCGAUAAGUAAUGUGAAUUGCAGAAUUCAGUGAAUCAUCGAGUCUUUGAACGCACAUUGCGCCCUGUGGUAUUCCGCAGGGCAUGCCUGUUCGAGCGUCAUUUCAACCCUCAAGCCCCGCUUGGUGUUGGGCCCCGCCCGCCGUGGCCGGCCCUAAAGACAGUGGCGGCGCCGCCUGGCCCUCAGCGUAGUACAGCUCUCGCUCCAGGGUCCGGCGGCCGCCUGCCAGAACCCCCCCAACUCUGUGGUUGACCUCGGAUCAGGUAGGGAUACCCGCUGAACUUAAGCAUAUCAAUAAGCGGAGGA
rnacentral:misc_RNA from 1 species